CUUGGUUGUGACAAUUUAUGUGAUAGGAAGUAACAUUCAAGCUGCAUGGCUGUUUAUUUUCUUUUUUACAUGUUUGGGAAAUAUGUAAAAAAUUGAGAUUAGAAUUACCUUGAAUGACUGAAUAUUGGAAAGUUUUGGACCACAUUGAGGGUGUCAUAUAAUUCAGUUUUACUAUUAUAGGGGAUUUUAGAAUUAGAUCAUCUACCUGCACCAAAAGGUGAUAGCUGUUUCUUUUUUCUUUUUAUUUUUGCAUAGAGACAACACCCGGUUUGCAGAAAGCGAAAAACUAAUUAGAGACAGAGACCACCCUGAAUAGUAAAUGACCACUAUCUUUGUCUGUGGACAUUCCUAAUCACAACCAUAGACAUGCUAUUUAAAAAACGUAAGAACUCUAGAAUAGUUUCCAUUGCACCUAGAGUUGCCAAUUUUUUUGACGUGG
rnacentral:lncRNA from 1 species